CUCAAAUUUGAAAUCUGGCCUCUUUGGGGUCCGAGUUGUAAUUUGUAGAGGAUGUUUCGGGCACCGCUCCGGUUUAAAUUUCUUGGAACAGAAUGUCAAAGAGGGUGAGAACCCCGUCUUGGACCGGCAGUAGGGCCCAUGUGAAACUCCUUCGACGAGUCGAGUUGUUUGGGAAUGCAGCUCAAAAUGGGUGGUAAAUUUCAUCUAAAGCUAAAUAUUGGCCAGAGACCGAUAGCGCACAAGUAGAGUGAUCGAAAGAUGAAAAGCACUUUGAAAAGAGAGUUAAACAGUACGUGAAAUUGUUGAAAGGGAAGCGCUUGCAACCAGACUUGCGCGCGGCGGUUCCCCCUUCCUUUUGGUUGGGUUAUUCCGCCGUGUCCAGGCCAACAUCGGUUCUGGGGGUCGGUUAAAGGCCUGGGGAAUGUAUCUACCCUUCGGGCGUAGACUUAUAGCCCCGGGUGUCAUGCGACCUCCCGGGACCGAGGAACGCGCUUCGGCUCGGAUGUUGGCGUAAUGGUUGUCAGCGACCCGUCUUGAAACACGGACCAAGGAGUCUAACAUCUAUGCGAGUGUUUGGGUGUCAAACCCGGAACGCGGAAUGAAAGUGAACGGAGGUAGGAAGCUUCGGCUGCACUAUCGACCGAUCCUGAUGUCUUCGGAUGGAUUUGAGUAAGAGCAUAGCUGUUGGGACCCGAAAGAUGGUGAACUAUGCCUGAAUAGGGUGAAGCCAGAGGAAACUCUGGUGGAGGCUCGCAGCGGUUCUGACGUGCAAUCGAUCGUCAAUUUGGGUAUAGGGGCGAAAGACUAAUCGAACCAUCUGGUAGCUGGUUCCUGCCGAAC
rnacentral:rRNA from 1 species